CCGGUACCCAUGAGGUCACCAGCGUUGUGAGUGGAUGUAAAGGGGGUCCCAUAUAUAUCCAAUCACGAUGCGGGUGGCCGUGCCGCUCCACUCAUCUGUUUUCGUUUUGGAUCGAGGCGUUCUGGCGCCAAAUCUUAGCUUCCCUAUUUAUUAGCCCCCCUCCCCAAGAAAUGCUCCUUCCCCAAUUUCUUGUUCCUCCGGCGACCCUCCUCCAUCUCCCCUCUCCGAGCCUCCGUCUCUCCCUCGCCCCCGCGAGUGGCGGCGAGCCAUGGCCGAACACGGCUUCAAGAUCGAGAUCGCCUUCGUCGGGAGGUUAGCGACCAUCGCCAUUGCCGGCUGCUUCGCGGAGCUUUGCAUCGUUCCACCGGACACCAAGGCCUUCACCCACAGCCACCCCCAAUUGUUGGGUAACUUUGGAGGUUAAAUCCUUGUAUGUUGGUGAAAUUUUCAUGGGAGAUGUUCCUUUGACCAAGAAAAUUUUUUGCUGGGCUAAACAACUGGUUGGCUCUCCAUGGAUGUUUGAACUUGUGGGUUUGACUGAUGCUGUGUAGAUGGUGUCAGUAGAUCGUAUCGUUCCAGUUCACUUCUUGACCACUGGACAUCCUAACUUGAUCGUUAUAAUAAAAUUAGUUGCCUUGGCAAGUAGUGUGUCAAAUCCAAUUGAUCUUGUGAUAAAUAUUGCUUAUUGGACAAUUGUUAGACAGGUUGUAUUUAACAAAUAGUGCUUAAUAUUUUAAAUAUUUGUUUCUCACUGAACCUUUGAAAUUUUACAAUCUAGGAGAGACUUGGGGCUUUCCUGAGUGAGUGGUCCAAGUUAUUUUGCACGUAAUGCUACAAUAAAUGAAUUAUGCCGAGUUGACUAGCUAUGAUCAAGUCAAACAGGUUUGGUGCUGGGGGGCUUGUUCAGUUUGUAUUGGCUCUCCUGUUGAUGUGGUAAGCUCUCCUAACGAGUCAAAUUUCAUUCCCAUUCCCACACAAGUUAGUUUCAUUUAUGGAAGGUUGUGACUGUGUCAAACAGUUGGUAACCAGUUUCUGUCGAAGAGGAAUUUUUUUUGUAUUGUGUCCCUUUUUCUCACUUGUGAUUUCAAGAAAUCUCUAGUGAAGUUUUGAAUAUACUUUCAUGGAUUCCUUUGUCAGCUGAUAGACAAAUUU